rnacentral:rRNA from 1 species
AACGCAGCGAAGGGCGAUACGUAAUGUGAAUUGCAGAAUUCAGUGAAUCAUCGAAUCUUUGAACGCACAUUGCACUCUCUGGUAUUCCGGAGAGUAUGCUUGUUUGAGUAUCAGUAAACACCUCAAAUCUCUACUUUAUUGUAAAAGAAUUGGACUUGAGCAAUCCCAACUGUCGAAAGAGAGGAGGGUUGCUUGAAAUGCAGGUGCAGCUAGACAUUCUUCUGAGCUAAAAGCAUAUUAUUUAGUCCCGUCAAACGGAUUAUUACUUUUUGCUCUAGCUAAUAUAAAGGUCGAAUGCGCUACAUGCUGACUGAUGCAGGAUUAACAAGAGCCGCAAGGUUUUUGUAAACUCGAUCUCAAAUCAAGUAAGACUACCCGCUGAACUUAA